rnacentral:tRNA from 1 species
GCCUGGGUGGCUCAGUCAGUUGAGCAUCUGACUUUGGCUCAGGUCAUGAUCUCGCAGCUCAUGAGUUCAAGCCCCGCUUCAGGCU